rnacentral:rRNA from 1 species
AUACAUGAGCAAAAUCUCAACUUUAUUAGAAGAGACGCAUUUAUUAGAUAAAAAGCCAAUGCAUGCUUUUACAGUAUGAAAAUUGGUGAUUUAUAAUAACUUAGCAAAUCGCAUAGUGAAAACAGGCGAUAAAUCAUUCAAGUUUCUGACCUAUCAGCUUUCGACGGUAUGGUAUUGGCUUACCGUGGCAGUGACGGUUAACGGGGGAUUAGGGUUCGAUUCCGGAGAGGGAGCCUGAGAAACGGCUACCACAUCUAAGGAAGGCAGCAGGCGCGCAAAUUACCCAAUUCUAACAGUUUGAGAGAGGUAGUAACAAGAAAUAACAAUACAAGGCAGUUAAAAUGCUUUGUAAUUGGAAUGAUAGAAAUUUAAACCCUUUUUAAAGUAUCAAUUGGAGGGCAAGUCUGGUGCCAGCAGCCGCGGUAAUUCCAGCUCCAAUAGCGUAUAUUAAAAUUGUUGCAGUUAAAAAGCUCGUAGUUGAAGUUCUGCUAAAAGUAACCGGUCUGCUUUGAAUAAAAGUGGUAUCUUGGUAUGUAUUUAGCAAUGAUGUCCUUUGAAGUGUUUUUUACUUUAUUGUAAUAAAGCAUAUUCAGGACUUUUACUUUGAGAAAAUUAGAGUGUUUCUAGCAGGCCAACGCUUUGAAUACUGCAGCAUGGAAUAAUAAG